rnacentral:rRNA from 1 species
CCUACGGGGGGCUACAGUGAGGAAUAUUGGUCAAUGGCCGGAAGGCUGAACCAGCCAAGUCGCGUGAGGGACGACUGCCCUAUGGGUUGUAAACCUCUUUUAUAAGGGAAGAAUAAAUGCUACGUGUAGCAUGAUGCCUGUACCUUAUGAAUAAGCAUCGGCUAACUCCGUGCCAGCAGCCGCGGUAAUACGGAGGAUGCGAGCGUUAUCCGGAUUUAUUGGGUUUAAAGGGUGCGUAGGCGGACUGGAAAGUCAGCGGUAAAAUCGAGAGGCUCAACCUCUUUCCGCCGUUGAAACUGUCGGUCUUGAGUGGGCGAGAAGUAUGCGGAAUGCGUGGUGUAGCGGUGAAAUGCAUAGAUAUCACGCAGAACUCCGAUUGCGAAGGCAGCAUACCGGCGCCCGACUGACGCUGAGGCACGAAAGCGUGGGUAUCGAACAGGAUUAGAUACCCUUGUAGUC